rnacentral:rRNA from 1 species
AUUGAACGCUGGCGGCAUGCCUUACACAUGCAAGUCGAACGGCAGCACGGGUGCUUGCACCUGGUGGCGAGUGGCGAACGGGUGAGUAAUACAUCGGAACAUGUCCUGUAGUGGGGGAUAGCCCGGCGAAAGCCGGAUUAAUACCGCAUACGAUCUACGGAUGAAAGCGGGGGCCCUUCGGGCCUCGCGCUAUAGGGUUGGCCGAUGGCUGAUUAGCUAGUUGGUGGGGUAAAGGCCUACCAAGGCGACGAUCAGUAGCUGGUCUGAGAGGACGACCAGCCACACUGGGACUGAGACACGGCCCAGACUCCUACGGGAGGCAGCAGUGGGGAAUUUUGGACAAUGGGCGAAAGCCUGAUCCAGCAAUGCCGCGUGUGUGAAGAAGGCCUUCGGAUUGUAAAGCACUUUUGUCCGGAAAGAAAUCCUUGGCCCUAAUACGGUCGGGGGAUGACGGUACCGGAAGAAUAAGCACCGGCUAACUACGUG